CCUACGGGAGGCAGCAGUGAGGAAUAUUGGUCAAUGGGCGGGAGCCUGAACCAGCCAAGUCGCGUGAAGGAAGAAGGUACUUAGUAUUGUAAACUUCUUUUGUCGGGGAACAAAGGCGGAGACGCGUCUCCAGACGAGAGUACCGUACGAAUAAGCAUCGGCUAACUCCGUGCCAGCAGCCGCGGUAAUACGGGGGAUGCAAGCGUUAUCCGGAUUUAUUGGGUUUAAAGGGUGCGUAGGCUGUGAGGUAAGUUAGCGGUGAAAUGCGCCCGCUCAACGGGGUGAAGUGCCAUUGAUACUGCCUUGCUGGAAUGCGGAUGCCGUGGGAGGAAUGUGUGGUGUAGCGGUGAAAUGCAUAGAUAUCACACAGAACACCGAUUGCGAAGGCAUCUCACGAAUCCGCGAUUGACGCUGAUGCACGAAAGCGUGGGUAUCAAACAGGAUUAGAUACCCCUGUAGUC
rnacentral:rRNA from 1 species